CCUACGGGAGGCAGUAGUGAGGAAUAUUGGUCAAUGGACGAGAGUCUGAACCAGCCAAGUAGCGUGAAGGAUGACUGCCCUAUGGGUUGUAAACUUCUUUUAUAUGGGAAUAAAACGUUCCACGUGUGGGAUUUUGUAUGUACCAUAUGAAUAAGGAUCGGCUAACUCCGUGCCAGCAGCCGCGGUAAUACGGAGGAUCCGAGCGUUAUGCGGAUUUAUUGGGUUUAAAGGGAGCGUAGGUGGAUUGUUAAGUCAGUUGUGAAAGUUUGCGGCUCAACCGUAAAAUUGCAGUUGAAACUGGCAGUCUUGAGUACAGUAGAGGUGGGCGGAAUUCGUGGUGUAGCGGUGAAAUGCUUAGAUAUCACGAAGAACUCCGAUUGCGAAGGCAGUUCACUGGACUGCAACUGACACUGAGGCUCGAAAGUGUGGGUAUCAAACAGGAUUAGAUACCCGGGUAGUC
rnacentral:rRNA from 1 species